rnacentral:lncRNA from 1 species
GCUCAUUUCUCUUCUUCUUUACUCUAUACGUUGGUGUUAUAACCAAUAAUCACCAAAGCGAAGUUCUGUCCGAUUGAUUCAGGAACCAACGAACGAAUGCCAAAGUGUUGUACUUUAUGAAUUUCGGUAAACGGAAUCCCAAGUACUAUACCUUGUGAUUUCGAUAAACGGAAUCCAAAGUAUUACAUUUUGUAAAUUUUGUUAAGGUUCGAAUCUCGUGACUACCGUUUGGUUUGAUUUGGGUUUUACACAGAUACGUAUUCCAUUCUGUUAAACUAUAUGUUUAACUACCGAAAAUACUUCCCACUACACACUCACAAUCAAACAAACUAUUAAAUCAUCAGAAGAUCCAGAAUAAUAAAGGACAUGCUUAAUUAUCGAAAGAAGUAGAAUCAAGAAGUUGUUAACUCAAUCCUACAUGCUGAUUUGUAAUCACAGUAUAUUGGAGUAAGGAUUGUAUCCGGCACUGAAGGACUUCAAGAAGUGGCUUAUUUUAUUAAUUAAAUCAAAAUUAAGAAAUGUUAUUUUUAUUAAAAGCUACCUUUGUAAAAAUGGAAUUUAUUCCAUCUAUUUAAAUAAAAUCCGGUGUUCCGAAACUCUGAUAUUUUUCCUAACUCACGGUCCUGAUGAAAAUCCGCUGCAAUGUUUUUCAAAAUAAUCACCGGUACCACUGGACUGCUCACAGCUUCCGAUUCCGGCCAGGAUGGGGUCGGGGGUCGUGACAGCUGCUAGGUUUGGCAUGGGUUCGUCUUCUAGUAUUGGGUAGUGUUGCUGGUAAUCCCUAUGGUCGUCAAACCACGGGUCGUAGUUUGGGUCUAAGGGAUUCGGUGCUGCUACUCUAGGUAUCUCAUCUGGGUUGAAAUCAGACAUUGGGAUUUAAUUUUCUGGAUUGUUUUCAAUUUCCAUUGGCUAGGUGGGAAACAGUGGUAAGGGCUUGGGUGCUAUGAGUUGCUCCAGGUUAGGGUCUACAGCAGUGGUUGCUAGGAUAUGGAAAUUUGCUAGACUCCUAUUGAGCAUAUCCUAGGUGUAAGCAUCUGUUUCUCUCUUGGCGGUUGCUACAGCAUGCUGUUGUGGUAACCUUUUCAUUCUCUUCCUACGUUCAUGCGCUCUCCUACUGAACCAUCCUCUCUUUUUAGGAGGGAAUGGCUCUUCAGACUGAGCCUUAAACACGAAUAUCCCAUCUUCAUUGUCAGCUGAAUACCCUGAGAGGGCAGGCUGUGAAGAGGUGCCUUCGCUCCUAGGUGAGCUGGACAACUGAAGGUAAGCGUCAGAAGGUCCUUGGUCGCUCAUACUGUAAACUAACAAAUAGUCAAAUAACACACAACAAUAAAAUACAAAUAUGCACGUAGUUCUGUAAUAUAUUUCCUAACAUAUUGAAUAAUAUCUUGGUGUCAGCAGAACACUUCUGUGGCUGAAUCAGUGGCUUAGCUCUGAUACCACCUUUUGUCGCAACCCUCGUCCCCUAAUUACCCGGGAACGGUCGGCCGCGGCCAUUUUCGGUGGUAUCGAUAUUUAUCAUUUUGGCAGCAGAAAUUAUAUCAGGACCGUAGUUAGGAAAUAUUUUAUCAGAGUAAAAUACCACGCUUUUAAUAUAUUAAACACACGGGAAAAUCCCAAGUUUCAAGUACACACAUUUUUCAUAGGGAUAAACCCUAUUUUAUUUAAUAAAAACAUCUCUUUAUUUUAGAUAACUUUAUAGCCACUUUUCUAAGCCUUCAGUGCUGUCCAGCUGGCUUCUAUUUGGCUUUCACAUUUUGUUACUUGAAACGCGUUUAAAACAUUUUGUUAGUGGGAAAUACUGGUGAGUAAAUCUCAGUUUAAUCAAGUUAAGUAAAACCAUUGUACAGUAUUGAGGGCGGUCGCGCAAUUACAUUUGUUUCCAUCUACUUUAAUUACCACCCACGGUACUGUCAACUCGACUUGUGGUCAUGUUACUACUCACAUGUAGUAACAAAUUUUGUAUACAAAACCCCAACAUCCCGACGAUAAUUGUAGAAUACAAAUACUCAAUCACUGUUUAAUAUAAUGUAAACCAUUUGAGGUUUUGUAAAAAUAGUUUGCAAAAAGAUUUACAAAAAGGAGAU